GUGAUUUUACUGCUUCUUGCUCGUACUACACAUCCGUGUCUCAUCAACAGAUGGUACAGGCACACUGAAACACACAGCUUUUCUCCUCAAUUUCUUCACUCACCGCUUGUAGGUCCCUUGGGCUCCCGCUCAGCUCCGCGAUGUGACACCGCACUUCCCGAACAGACGCAGGUCGCGCCUUAACCCGCAUCGCGACAUCGGGACAACAUUCCACAUGGCAGCUUUUCAGACCACUCCAUGGAGGUUGAUUUCAGGGAUCUUAGGAGUACUAUGCCUUUUGUUGAUGGCUGCUUUGGGAGUUUUGUUGAAACAUUCAUCUGCUAAACAAAACGAUCAGCCAACAUUCUCUCCAGGACCCUCCAUAGAUCUCCAGGAAGGAUCUGACUGCUGUUCUUGCCAAGAAAAGUGGGUUGGGUACCAGUGCAACUGUUACUUCAUUUCUAAUGAAUUAAAAACAUGGAAAGACAGUAGCAAUUUUUGUGCUUCUCAUAAUUCCAGCCUACUUCAGAUGCAAAGCAGAAAUGAACUGCAGCACUUUCUGAGCCCCAGUUCGUACCUUUACUGGAUCGGACUCUCUUACAGUGAAGAACAUCGUGCCUGGCUGUGGGAGGAUAAUUCCACCCUCUCCAAAGAUCUGAACACUAUGACUAAGAUACCCUGCUCAAGGCAUGAAAAUACAGAAAAGAGAAUAGAUGAAACCGAAUAACAACUUUAGCCCCAUCCAUAACACCCAAGUGUACGCCCAAGGAAUGUGAAGUUAGUGUACUUGUGACUCUAGAAGAGAUUUUGAUAUAUGCCUUUUUUCCUGCCCGGGUACCAGCACUUGGACAUGUACAUAUUUCUAUUAUCCCACCCUGUAAAUCCAAAAAGCUGCAUAAUCUAUAACCCAAGCUACAGUGUUUUGGAUGAAAACUGCAGAAGUAAAUAUCGUUACAUCUGUAAGCAAUGGCUUAUUUAGUUGUUUCAUGGGACAGAUGGGGUUGGCAAUAAAGAUCCAGUAUUACUUAGAUAAGCAACAUAUUAUUACUACUUACCUACUUCUGGAAUCUGUAAAGUGUUUCAAAACUGUGUCUUUUCAUACAUUUUUCACAUAUUUGAAAACACUUGUUUAAAAAGUUUUUUUUAUCAAGAUGUAAUUGACACACAACAUUAUAUUAGUUUCAGGUGUACAACUUAACAAUAACUAGACACUGUCUCAUUGACAUCCAUCACCAUACAUAGUUAGAAUUUUUGGUUUUACUAUGUGUUUUAAAAUUGAUGAAACUUGUGUGCCUAUCCCUGAAAUUGUAAAGAGUCAAGAUAAAGAAUUUCAUAAAUGUUUAAUGUAUAUGUUAAAUAUUGAAUGUUAUAGUUUUAUGAAUAGGUUCUUGUAAAAUCUCUUAAAAAUUUAAAUAAAACUUAAUUCAUGCCAAAUAA